rnacentral:rRNA from 1 species
CACGUAGGGGGCGAGCGUUGUCCGGAUUUAUUGGGCGUAAAGAGCUCGUAGGCGGCUCAGUAAGUCAGGUGUGAAAACUCCAGGCUCAACCUGGAGACGCCACUUGAUACUGCUGUGGCUAGAGUCCGGUAGGGGAGCAUGGAAUUCCUGGUGUAGCGGUGAAAUGCGUAGAUAUCGGGAGGAACACCAGCGGCGAAGGCGGCUUUCUGGACCAAUACUGACGCUGAGACGCGAAAGCGUGGGGAGCAAACAGG